rnacentral:rRNA from 1 species
UGGGGAAUAUUGGACAAUGGGCGAAAGCCUGAUCCAGCCAUGCCGCGUGUGUGAAGAAGGCCUUCGGGUUGUAAAGCACUUUAAGCGAGGAGGAAUGGCUCUGGGUUAAUACCCUUGAGCAGUGACGUUACUCGCAGAAUAAGCACCGGCUAACUCUGUGCCAGCAGCCGCGGUAAUACAGAGGGUGCAAGCGUUAAUCGGAAUUACUGGGCGUAAAGCGCGCGUAGGCGGUUUGUUAAGUCGGAUGUGAAAUCCCCGGGCUCAACCUGGGAAUUGCAUUCGAUACUGGCAAGCUAGAGUAUGGGAGAGGAAGGUAGAAUUCCAGGUGUAGCGGUGAAAUGCGUAGAGAUCUGGAGGAAUACCGAUGGCGAAGGCAGCCUUCUGGCCUAAUACUGACGCUGAGGUGCGAAAGCAUGGGGAGCAAACAGGAUUAGAUACCCCCGUAGUCCCUGAGCGGGCUGGCAAGGCGCAU